GCUUACUUUCAGUGGUUUUUAGUAAAUUCUUAAGGUUGUACAACUAUCACCACCAUCUAAUUCCAGAAUAUUUUCAUCACCCCAAAAAGAAAUCCCAGACUCAUCAGCAGUCACUGCCAUUCCAUACUGUCUUAUUCUCUGGUAACCGCUAAUUGACUCUCCCUCUUUGUGGAUUUGUUUCUAGUGGACAUGCCACGUGAAUGGAAUCACAUAAUAGGUGGUCCUUGUGUCUUUGACUUAGCACAUUCUCAAGGUUCAUCCGUGUUGUAGCAUGUAUCAGGACUUCACUCCUUUAAAGAUACAGUUUUCACAAGCUCCCCAGCUAGUUCUGAUGAGUGGGCUUUGGGAGAAAAAGAGGAGCCAAUUCAUAUCAGGUGAUUCUUGGGUUAUUAUUGAGACAUGGGGCCUCAUCCCUUCUUCCUUACUCCAGAGGUUGGGCAAGUCUCCCAUACACUGGAGGGAGGUGUGUGUCUAUGGACAGUAGCCUGGCUGCUCUGGAGAUCAGGCGGAUUAACUGCAAGAGACACACACACACAAGGGGAUUGUCUCAACUCGAAGACUUUAAUGUACAUUAUGCUCUUGGAAAAACAUCUCCAAGGAAACAAGUGG
rnacentral:lncRNA from 1 species